AUUGAACGCUGGCGGCAUGCCUUACACAUGCAAGUCGAACGGCAGCGCGGGAGCAAUCCUGGCGGCGAGUGGCGAACGGGUGAGUAAUAUAUCGGAACGUGCCCAUUAGUGGGGGAUAGCCCGGCGAAAGCCGGUUUAAUACCGCAUACUACCUGAGUGUGAAAGCGGGGGAUCGCAAGACCUCGCGCGAGUGGAGCGUCCGAUAUCAGAUUAGCUAGUUGGUGGGGUAAAGGCCUACCAAGGCAACGAUCUGUAGUUGGUCUGAGAGGACGACCAGCCACACUGGGACUGAGACACGGCCCAGACUCCUACGGGAGGCAGCAGUGGGGAAUUUUGGACAAUGGGCGCAAGCCUGAUCCAGCAAUGCCGCGUGCAGGAAGAAGGCCUUCGGGUUGUAAACUGCUUUUGUCAGGGAAGAAAUCCUUUGGGCUAAUACCUCGGAGGGAUGACGGUACCUGAAGAAUAAGCACCGGCUAACUACGUGCCAGCCGCCGCAGUAA
rnacentral:rRNA from 1 species